GAGUUUGAUCCUGGCUCAGGAUGAACGCUGGCGGCGUGCCUAACACAUGCAAGUCGAACGGAGUUUAUGAGGAAGAAGCUUCGGCGGAAUUCUUAUAAACUUAGUGGCGGACGGGUGAGUAACACGUGGAGAACCUGCCUCUUACCGGGGGACAGCAGUUGGAAACGACUGAUAAUACCGCAUAAGCGCACGAGACCGCAUGGUCCUGUGUGAAAAGAUUUAUCGGUAAGAGAUGGCUCCGCGUCUGAUUAGCCAGUUGGCGGGGUAACGGCCCGACCAAAGCGACGAUCAGUAGCCGGCCUGAGAGGGUGAACGGCC
rnacentral:rRNA from 1 species